GACGAACGCUGGCGGCGUGCUUAACACAUGCAAGUCGAACGGAAAGGCCCUGCUUUUGUUGGGUUCUCGAUUGGCGAACGGGUGAGUAACACGUGAGUAACCUGCCCUUGACUUUGGGAUAACUUCAGGAAACUGGGGCUAAUACCGGAUAGGAGCUCCUGCUGCAUGGUGUUGGUUGGAAAGUUUCGGCGGUUGGGGAUGGACUCGCGGCUUAUCAGCUUGUUUGUGGGGUAGUGGCUUACCAAGGCUUUGACGGGUAGCCGGCCUGAGAGGGUGACCGGCGACAUUGGGACUGAGAUACGGAGCAGAAUCCUACGGGAGGCAGAAGUGGGGAAUAUUGCACAAUGGGCGGAAGCCUGAUGCAGAAACGCCGCGUGCGGGAUGACGGCCUUCGGGGUGUAAACAGAUUUCGCCUGUGACGAAGAGUGAGCGACGGUAAUGGGUAAAGAAGCACCGGCUAACUACGUG
rnacentral:rRNA from 1 species